GGUCGAGGUGGUCAGCGAAGACAAAGAACAGUAAUAUCUGAUGAAAUCAGAGCUACUGUGAUUGACCAUGUUCUUGUCCAUGGUAUGAGCAUGAGGGAGGCUGGACAAAGGGUACAACCAAACAUCAGUAGAUUCACUGUGUCCACCAUAAUCCGAAGAUUUAGAGAAGAGAACAGAGGGUUUUUCAACUGGAUGCAAUGGAAAGACCCCAUUAAUACAUCUACAUGGAUGAAGCUGGGUUUAAUCUCACCAAAAGGAGAAGGAGAGACCGUAAUGUGAUUGGCCAAUGUCACAUUAUGUGCUGCCAUCAGCAAUCAUGGGGUUGUCCACCAUCAUGCCAACCUGGGGCCCUACAACACUCACCAGCUCCUCAUUUCCCUCAAUCACAUGCGAGAUGCUCUGUUAGGGCAGCAGGAUGAGCAUCCCAUCUAUGUUGUUGUUUGGGACAAUGUGAGUUUUCACAGAGCCCUCCAGGUUAGAGAAUGGUUCAAUAUGAACCAAGGUUUUAUCAAUCUUUGCCUUCCACCGUACUCCCCUUUCCUAAACCCCAUUGAGGAAUUCUUCUCCUCAUGGCGGUGGAAGGUAUAUGAACGCCAACCUUACACCAGGGUAAAUCUCCUGCAAGCCAUGGGACUUGCCUGUGGUGACAUAGGUGUGGAGGCAUGCCAAGCCUGGAUACGGCAUGCCAGGGUUUUUUUCCCCCGUUGCCUGGCCAGACAAAAUGUGGCCUGUGAUGUGGAUGAAGUCCUGUGGCCUGACCCAGUACGGAGACAUGAUGCUGUGGCUGAGUAAUGCACUUAUUUGUAUAUUUUUGUACUUUAUUUUUACAUGGGCUUACUGUACACAAGUGGCAAAUGCACAAGAUUUCUGUUUUGUCUUUUUGUACAAGUGCCUAAUGCACAGGUAUUUUUUGUUUUGCAACAUGCAUUUAGCCUACAGUGAACAAUAAACAUUUAUUUCUCCA